CUGCGAAGCACGAUGAGGGGAUCCCAAGUGCUUGCUCGUAAGAGUAAGCUGUUUUUAUGUCUAAAAAGCAUAGAGAGUAAGGGCUGGGUAAGACGGGUGCCAGCCGCCGCGGUAAUACCUGCAGCUCAAGUAGUGACCGCUAUUAUUGGGCCUAAAACGUUCGUAGCCGGUUUGGUAAAUGCCUGGGUAAAUCGUGUAGCUUAACUAUACGAAUUCCGGGUAGACUGCCAAACUUGAAACCGGGAGAAGCUAGAGGUACUCCUAGGGUAGAGGUGAAAUUCUGUAAUCCUGGGGGGACCACCAGUGGCGAAGGCGUCUAGCUAGAACGGGUUUGACGGUGAGGAACGAAGCCCUGGGGCGCAAACCGGAUUAGAUACCCGGGUAGUCCAGGGUGUAAACGCUGCUUGCUUGAUGUUAGUUGGGCUCCGAGCCCAAUUAGUGUCGGAGAGAAGUUGUUAAGCAAGCUGCCUGGGAAGUACGCUGCGAAGCACUGCGAAGCACUGCGAAGCACUGCGAAGCACA
rnacentral:rRNA from 1 species